CAGGGGGGCAAGCGUUGUUCGGAAUUACUGGGCGUAAAGGGCGUGUAGGUGGCCAACUAAGUCCAACGUGAAAUCCCCAGGCUUAACCUGGGAACUGCGUCGGAUACUGGAUGGCUUGAAUCCGGGAGAGGGAUGCGGAAUUCCAGGUGUAGCGGUGAAAUGCGUAGAUAUCUGGAGGAACACCGGUGGCGAAGGCGGCAUCCUGGACCGGUAUUGACACUGAAGCGCGAAAGCCAGGGGAGCAAACGGGAUUAGAUACCCCGGUAGUCCUGGCCCUAAACGAUGAAUGUUUGGUGUGGCGGGUAUCGAUCCCUGCCGUGCCGAAGCUAACGCAUUAAACAUUCCGCCUGGGGAGUACGGUCGCAAGGCUG
rnacentral:rRNA from 1 species